rnacentral:lncRNA from 1 species
GGGAGAAAGGGAGAGGAAGAGAGAGCAAAGAGGCUCUCUGCUUUUUUUUAAAAAAAAAGGGGGGGGGGCUGAAAUGAAAGGGAAAUAAAAAAAUUUGGCUUAAAUAGCCAAGCAAAACGUCACCGUUUUGCAAAACCCCCCCCACGCCUCAAAACGACGUCGUUUAGGGGGGAGCGUGACCCGACCCGUACCCAGCGGAGGAUCCGCGCAUUUUGACCUAAUGGUCUAUUUCCGCAUUGGAUCCCUUCGCUUUCUUAGUGCGUUUCAAUGUGGUCUCGCCUUACCUUUUUAUUUCGAUUUUUCCCCAGAAUUUUGCCUCUAUUUCAUUUUGGUCCUCCGACCAUUCGAAGAGAUAGACCCUUGGAAUGUUGCGUACAAAGGGUUUGGGACACAUGCUCUUUGAUCCUUGUUCUCUCGCGCACAUUCUAAUAUAGUCCUUGGCAACUUUUAUUUCUUUUUACGAUUUAUACCCUGAAUUUCGACC